rnacentral:lncRNA from 1 species
ACCCACCCAGUGUGGGAAACAGAUUGAUGAGGAUUAAGUGUGCUCAGUGGCCACUAAAUGCUUGAGUAUCAGCUGGAAAAGAAAAGAAAAGAAAAGAAAAGAAAAGAAAAGAAAAGAAAAGAAAAGGGAGUGGAAUGGGCUGCUUGUGGAACCCUGCACAGGAGCUCUCCUUUAAGAAGCAAUGAAAUACUACAACAUUUUGUUGUAGGUCCUAAUUGUAAUCAUCUUCUGUUCAACGUUUAUUUGUCAUUCAGGGCAAUUUUUCCUGAUUAACUGAAAAUGGAAAUUACAGUGAAUCUGCUUCCCAUGUUAACUGGUACAUGCUUUAGCUCACAGACAGGGCUGCUGGAAACAGAUGCAAGCAAAAGACAGCAUGGUUUGGUACAAAAUUAUUCAUGCUAAUGCAUCAUCUAAUCAAGUAUGGACAGCUGCACAUCUGCAUAGCUCCUGAUUCCCCAUGACUGGACAGAUCCAAGCAGUGUAUCAGAGCCUUGUAGCUGAUGGGUAUUCUUCAGUGCCAUGAAAAACAUCUGGAACCUGAAGAAGAAACCUAAAGUCAACAUCUAAAUGUGUGUCCAUGAAAGUAAUGAAGUACAGAAGAGUGGCAUCUCUAUUCUGAUGUGCACCUGAAUGUGGAUGUUAUUCUGCUGCAUAGCAUUCUCUGUUCAAUAGAAUGUGGAUUUGGAUGUGAAGGUGUAUUGGCAAUCCAUCCAGAAGAUAUUUGUAUUUCGAGGAGUUAGUGAUCUGACAUGGUUAUCCUUCCUGCCCCCUGUUCCAUCCUUUCUCCUAUCUUUUGUUAAGCUCUUUGAUGGCAUGAGAACAGCCUUUAAUGUCCUAAUCUGUUGGAAGGAAGCGAUAGUGUUGAGAAUCUUCUUUGAUGUUGAACAUUGUUUCAGGAAAGUGAGGCAUUGGGAGAAGGUGGGUAAUGAAUAAUCUGCACAAAGCUAGUGAGCUGCAUGUAGUUAGUUGGGAAAACCACACAGCUUAACUAUCUAUAAAUCAGAUGGUUGUGGACAGUGUGAGAGAGAAGCUCAUGCAUAGACUGACAGCCGCAGGGCCGUGCAACCUGAGGCUACCUGGGAGAGUCACUUCUCCACUUUCUGAGGGCUUCCAAGUGGCAAAUUGAGGUGCUUGCUUGGUAUGAGAAUCCUCUGUGAAAAUAAUCUCUCAAAGGACCUGUUGAUGGCAUUUUACCAUUGUAUUGUUGAGAGUGUAUUAACUCAUGGUCUGUGUGUGUGGUUUGGGAGCUGCAUGGUCAGGGGAAAAACAACGCUGUCCAAGGUUGUAAAGACUGCGGAGAGAAUAAUUGGGUGUACUCUUCCCACCUUGGAUCAAAUCUAUGCUUCCAGGUGUCAUAAGAAAGCUGUAGAGAUAGUGCAGGAUAGUGCACAUCCUGGAAAUAAUCUCUUUCAGCUUCUGCUUUCUGGAAGAAGGUACAGGUUAUAAAGACUAGGACUAGCUGCCUGAGAAACAGUUUCUAUCCAAAUGAGAUUUUGGUUUUAAAUGCAGUGUAAGGUAGUCUCUGUGGGAGUAUAUUGUAUUUAAUUAUGGGGUAUCAGAGUUAUUAGGGGGUUAACCAGGCUGGGAUAGCUGGGAUAGCAGGCCUGUUGGUUUUUGAAUGUCUGAUGUAGAUUUUUUUUGAAUUUCGUUGUUCUGUAUGGGACAAUGACAAUAAAGAUUACCGUAUCAUAUGUAUAUACUGCUUGUUGUUUAGAAUAAAAUCUUUAAUCUUCUC